UGGGAAUUUUGGACAAUGGGCGAAAGCCUGAUCCAGCAAUGCCGCGUGUGUGAAGAAGGCCUUCGGGUUGUAAAGCACUUUUUGUCCGGAAAAGAAAUCCUUGGCUCUAAUACAGUCGGGGGAUGACGGUACCGGAAGAAUAAGCACCGGCUAACUACGUGCCAGCAGCCGCGGUAAUACGUAGGGUGCAAGCGUUAAUCGGAAUUACUGGGCGUAAAGCGUGCGCAGGCGGUUUGCUAAGACCGAUNUGAAAUCCCCGGGCUCAACCUGGGAACUGCAUUGGUGACUGGCAGGCUAGAGUAUGGCAGAGGGGGGUUAGAAUUCCACGUGUAGCAGUGAAAUGCGUAGAGAUGUGGAGGAAUACCGAUGGCGAAGGCAGCCCCCUGGGCCAAUACUGACGCUCAUGCACG
rnacentral:rRNA from 1 species